UACGUAGGGUGCAAGCGUUAUCCGGAAUUAUUGGGCGUAAAGAGCUCGUAGGCGGCUUGUCGCGUCGACUGUGAAAUCCCGCGGCUCAACUGCGGGUCUGCAGUCGAUACGGGCAGGCUAGAGUUCGGUAGGGGAGACUGGAAUUCCUGGUGUAGCGGUGAAAUGCGCAGAUAUCAGGAGGAACACCGGUGGCGAAGGCGGGUCUCUGGGCCGUAACUGACGCUGAGGAGCGAAAGCAUGGGGAGCGAACAGG
rnacentral:rRNA from 1 species